AAUAGCCUAAGGGCUGAACCAGCAAUUCGGACGAAUGUAAAGUGGUUUAUCCACAUAAAGUUCUAGGUAGAAUAUUGAUAGUGACAACUUUCUAUCUAUAAGUCUUGACAAAAUUACGUGCCAGCAGUCGCGGUAACACGUAAAAGACAAGUGUUAUUCAUAUUUAUUGGGUAUAAAGGGUACCUAGACAGUUUAUUUAGCCUUUACCAGGGGGUUACAAAUAUAACUAGAGUUUUAUAUAAUAGGUUAAUAUUAGUAUUGCAAGUGUAGAGAUGAAAUUUUCUGAUACUGUAAAGACUGGCAAAAGCGAAGACUAUCCUUUAUGUAAAAACUGACGUUGAGGGACGAAGGCUUGGGUAUCAAACAGGAUUAGGAACCCUACUAGUCCUUGCAGAAAAUGAUGAGUGCCAUAGGUUAGAAUUAUUUUGAUCUAUAAAUGAAAGUGUAAGCAUUCCACCUCAAGAGUAAUGUGGCAACGCAGGAACUGAAAUCAUUAGACCGUUUCUGAAACCAGUAGUGAAGUACGUUGUUUAAUUCGUCGAUCCGCGAAAAAUCUUACCACAAUUUGUAUAUUAAUAGUGAAAUACAAAUAUAUCUUAAUGAUAUGUUUAAAUAUUUUACUUAUAUUACAGGUGUUGCACGGCUGUCUUUAGUUAAUGUCGUGAGGCUCAGGUUAGCUCCAUUAAAUUAACGUAAACCCUUACUUUAUUUAUUUAUUUAUAAAGUAGUUCUUCGGUAGAUCGAAUAAGAUAACUGGGAUCAAGACAAGUACUCGUGACCCUAAUAUUUUGGGCUAUAGACGUGCCACAUUUGCCUUUACAAUAGGAUGCAAAAAUGCAAAUAAUAAGCUAAUCCUUAAAAAAGGUAAAAAUAU
rnacentral:rRNA from 1 species